rnacentral:misc_RNA from 1 species
GAGGAUUAAAUUUGUUUUGUACGAGUCACUACCGAGUAUCUCUAAAAGUCACUAAGUCUUGUAAAUUAAAUAAUUUUAAAAAGACGAAUAACUUGACAUAAAAUAUUUCGGAAUCGAUAUGCUUUUUUUGGCGAUGCUGAUGUACUAACGAAUACGUUGAAAAAUCAAUAUUUAUGUUUCUUUUCCUAACAGUUUAUAUCAUAUAAUAAGUAAGACUAAAUGAUGUUGUUAUUUGUACAAGUAAAUAUCAGAGAAUAAAAGUUUAUCGCCAGAUAUUUGUAUUAAAAUGGUUUUAAUAAGCAAACGAUGUUAAUGGAGUAGAGCAUAAAAAAAAGUUUCUAAAAAAAUAUGGCCGCAGGUAUAUGGGAUCGACUUCCAGCACACGAGUUCAAACAGCUGCAAGAGUACACAAAAUAUUCAAAGAGAAGGCUCAAAGAUGUUUUGACAGAAUUCCAUGCUGGCAUUCAUAAACAAUAUAAUACUGAACAGCCAAUGGGUUAUGAAGGUUUCAAGCUCUUUAUGUCUUCUUAUUUGGGAGAAAGUAUUAGCGAUGAACUUUGUCAAACUUUAUUUUGGACAUUUCAUAAGAAAGUUCCUCAAAUAGGUGUUAAAUCUCCUGAGAUGCCCACUGCUCUUGUUAGUAAGUUUAUUGAAGAAGGUGGCUAUGAAGAGUUUAAUGAGAUUGGCCAUGGCACCCCAAAUCUUCUAUUUUCAAGGAUUGCCAAAGGAGCACGUCGUGCUACAUUGGUUGCUACAGCAACUGUUGUUGCUGGAAUUACUUCAAGUAUUUCAAGCUGCAGUUCAGCAAACGCAUUAAACGAAUUAAACAAUGACACUCAUCAAAAGUAUAAACAAAAUGGAAAAUAUCAUCAGUUAGAAGACAUGUCAUCUUUACGUGCUUCUUCUUACUUAGAUGGACAUUGUUUAGAAACACAUGUAAAUGAUGAUGCUGCUAAAUCACCAAGGGAUUUCAAUGAUCUGCAUCUUGUUCCUAUGAUUGAGAUAAAAGAAAUUGCCUGCUACUUAUCACUUCUUGAGGGAGGUGAUGUGCAAGACAAACUGGAAUUUGUGUUUCGCGUUUAUGAUAGUGACAAUAACAAUUACUUAGAUCAAAAGGAACUGGAGUCAAUUGUAAAUCAAAUGAUAAGAGUGGCUGAGUAUCUUGGAUGGGAUACAGCAGCUAUCCAACCAAUAUUAAUGGAUAUGUUGGCAGACAUGGAUUGUGAUGCUGAUGGACAAAUUAGUAUUGAAGAGUUUAUAAAAGGAGGAAUGAACAACAUUCCUUUUUUAGUAUUACUUGGAAUGGAUGUAAAAGUAGAUGAAGAAGGCAAGCAUCAGUGGCAAAUGAAGCACUUUAAGUCACAAGCUUACUGUAAUAUUUGUCAUAGUGCUUUAACAGGAUUUCACCGUAAACAAGGGCUUGUUUGCAUUUUUUGUCAUUUUACGUGUCAUGAAAGAUGUGUGAAAAGAGUCCCAAAUUCUUGUAUUCAAACGUAUACAGAGUCAAAGUCAAAAAUGAAAGCUACAGUUAUGGACCACCAUUGGGUUGAAGGAAAUUGUUCUGGCAAAUGUUCAAAGUGUAAUAAAACCAUUAAAAUGAACUGUUUAACAGGGCUGCAUUGUGUGUGGUGCCAAGCCAAAGUACACAAUCGUUGUGUUCAAUACAUGCAAGUAGAAUGUUCAUUAGGCAAACAUCGUGUACACAUUUUACCUCCAAUAUGCAUUACACCACAAACUGCAAAACGUGGAGGACGUAAUGUAAGAGAAAAGAAAAAUUCUGUAAUUAGUUAUGACGGCAUACCUAUGAUGAUUUCUCCAUUACCUAACAGUCAACCAUUGGUAGUUUUUGUUAAUCCAAAAAGUGGUGGAAGGCAAGGUGCAAAAUUAUUAAACAAGUUUAGAUACUUACUAAACCCAAGACAAGUGUUUAAUUUAGCUGAUGCAGGGCCCUUUCCUGGUCUAAAAUUUUUUUCCCAAAUUCCGAACUUUCGCAUUUUGUGUUGUGGUGGUGAUGGUACAGCUGGAUGGAUUUUGUCCACUUUAGAUCGUCUGUCUAGCUUAAAGGAGCGCCCUCCAAUGUCAAUACUUCCUUUGGGUACUGGAAAUGAUCUUUCGCGCUGUUUGGGAUGGGGUGGAGGCUACGAUGGAGGGAAGAUAGAAAAAUACCUUAUUAAAACUGCAGAAAGUACCUCAGUUGCAAUGGACAGGUGGCAAAUUGAUUGUGAAGAAAUUGAUAAUAGUGAAGAAUGUGAUGUCAUGCCACAAAAUAUAAUGAACAACUAUUUUUCCAUCGGCGUUGAUGCUUCAGUUGCAUUAAAGUUUCAUUUACAAAGAGAAAAGAAUCCCGAAAAGUUCAAUAGCAGAUUUAAAAAUAAAUUACGCUAUUUUGAGGCUGGAACAUCAGAGCAAUUAGCUGGUUCAUGCAAAGGUCUUCAUAAUGACGUGGAGUUAAUUGUAAAUGUGAUGGUAAAAAAAUUGAGCUCCCGCCUUUAGAAGGAAUUGCUAUUUUAAACAUACCAAGUAUAUAUGGCGGGGCUAAUAUUUGGGGAGAAUCAGAAAAAAGCAAUAAAAGGGACUCUGCUGAUUUAUCCAAUGCUGUCCAAAAUAUUGGUGACAAAAAAAUUGAAGUUGUUGGUUUAGAAAAUAGUUUAUAUGUUGGCCAGAUAAUAGCAGGAGUUCGUCAGCAUGGUUUAAGAAUAGCUCAAUGUUCCUCCAUAGAAAUGAA